rnacentral:rRNA from 1 species
AAUGAACGUUGGCGGCGUGGAUUAGGCAUGCAAGUCGAGCGUACCCAGCAAUGGGGAAGCGGCAAACGGGGUAGUAAGGCGUCGGUACGUGCCCUCGGGACGAGGAUAGCCACGGGAAACUGUGGGUAAUACUCGAUGAUCUCGUGAGAGCAAAGGUGUGAUUCCGCCAGGGGAGCGGCCGACGUGGUAUUAGGUAGUUGGUGGGGUAAUGGCCCACCAAGCCUGGGAUGCCUAGGGGGUGUGAGAGCAUGGCCCCCCACCAUUGGGACUGAGAUACUGCCCAGACACCUACGGGUGGCUGCAGUCGAGAAUCUUCGGCAAUGGGCGCAAGCCUGACCGAGCGACGCCGCGUGCGGGAUGAAGGCCUUCGGUUGUAAACCGCUGUCAGAGGGGAUGAAAUCACAGUGGGUUCUCCCAUUGUGUUGACAGAGCCUCAGAGGAAGNGCGGGCUAAGUUCGUG